UAACGCGUGGGCAACCUGCCUUAUACAGGGGGAUAACAGCUGGAAACAGCUGCUAAUACCGCAUAAGCGCACAGUGUCGCAUGGCACAGUGUGAAAAACUAAGGUGGUAUAAGAUGGGCCCGCGUCUGAUUAGCUAGUUGGGAGGGUAACGGCCUGCCAAGGCAACGAUCAGUAGCCGGCCUGAGAGGGCGGACGGCCACAUUGGGACUGAGACACGGCCCAGACUCCUACGGAAGGCAGCAG
rnacentral:rRNA from 1 species